rnacentral:rRNA from 1 species
CAGCAGCCGCGGUAAUACGUAGGUGGCAAGCGUUGUCCGGAAUUAUUGGGCGUAAAGCGCGCGCAGGUGGUUUAAUAAGUCUGAUGUGAAAGCCCACGGCUCAACCGUGGAGGGUCAUUGGAAACUGUUAAACUUGAGUGCAGGAGAGAAAAGUGGAAUUCCUAGUGUAGCGGUGAAAUGCGUAGAGAUUAGGAGGAACACCAGUGGCGAAGGCGGCUUUUUGGCCUGUAACUGACACUGAGGCGCGAAAGCGUGGGGAGCAAACAGGAUUAGAUACCCUGGUAGUCCACGCCGUAAACGAUGAGUGCUAAGUGUUGGUCUCAUAAGAGAUCAGUGCUGCAGCUAACGCAUUAAGCACUCCGCCUGGGGUGU